CCCUUAGAUGUUCUGGGCCGCACGCGUGCUACACUGAGUGGAUCAGCGGGUCAGGUUGCGCGAAAGUGUUUCCUAAUCUUGAAAUCCGCUCGUGAUGGGGAUUGACGGUUGCAAUUUUCCGUCAUGAACGAGGAAUACCUUGUAAGCGCGGGUCAUCAUCCCGCGCUGAAUACGUACCUGCCCUUUGUACACACCGCCCGUCGCUCCUACCGAUUGAGUGGUCCGGUGAGGCUUUGGGAUCUGAGCGGAAAGAGCGUUUCGCUGUUUCUGCUCGGAAAACUCAGUCGAACCUUAUCAUUUAGAGGAAGGAGAAGUCGUAACA
rnacentral:rRNA from 1 species